rnacentral:lncRNA from 1 species
UGGCCAAUCAACGGGACUAUCAACCAAGACAACAACAACCUUAUCAACCGCACCCUCAACAACAACAACAAUUCCAAGGGAACCAAGGGUUCCAACCUAGAAGCAACUAUUAUCAUAACCAAGGUUAUGGAGGUGGUUCUUCUAGCCGUCAAAACCCUCCCCAAAAUCCGUAUCAAUCUCAACAACCGCCGGUCGUCAAUUCUAAAUUGGAAGAGACAUUGACGCAAUUCAUGCAAAUGUC